AAACAUGGACCUCUGAAUCUCAAGAGCUUUUUAUUCUAGACCAGGGAUCACAGCAUAUGGACAUGCAUCAGUGAGUGGAUCUGUCCAUUCCUUAAAAUGCCAUCAUCAGACAGCAAGUAAUCCUUUGCAGUUCUUCUUCCCACUGAACACAGCAGAAUCAUUCAGCUUUCUUGACAAAUUUGGGUCCCAACUUUGGGCUAUUGAGAUCACAACGCUUUUUUGGAGGAAUGACAACAGGAGUCUGGUGGGCUGACUGGUCAGGUACAGUACAGCUUGUUGAGGCACGGUUUUGCUCUGUUGCUCAGGCUGGAGUGCACUGGUGCUGUAACAGCUCGCGGUAGCCUUAAACGCAAGGGCUCAUGCACCCAUCUCAGCCUCUCAAACAGGUGGAACUACAGAGAAUUAAUCAGAAUUUGCUGUUGGCAGUAGGGAGAACACAACAACAGAAAAUAUGUAUUCUUGAAAAAAUACUUAAAACCCUGGAUCCUGUGCCACCCUGGUCCAUGUGA
rnacentral:lncRNA from 1 species